UACGUAGGUGGCGAGCGUUGUCCGGAUUUACUGGGUGUAAAGGGCGUGUAGGCGGGGAAACAAGUCAGAUGUGAAAUCCCGGGGCUUAACUCCGGAGCUGCAUCUGAAACUGUUUUUCUUGAGUGCUGGAGAGGAAAGUGGAAUUCCAAGUGUAGCGGUGAAAUGCGUAGAGAUUGGGAGGAACACCAGUGGCGAAGGCGGCUUUCUGGACAGUAACUGACGCUGAGGCGCGAAAGCGUGGGGAGCAAACAGG
rnacentral:rRNA from 1 species